GAUGAACGCUGGCGGCGUGCCUAAUACAUGCAAGUCGAGCGAACAGACGAGGAGCUUGCUCCUCUGACGUUAGCGGUGGACGGGUGAGUAACACGUGGAUAACCUACCUAUAAGACUGGGAUAACUUCGGGAAACCGGAGCUAAUACUGGAUAACAUGUUGAACCGCAUGGUUCAACAGUGAAAGACGGUCUUGCUGUCACUUAUAGAUGGAUCCGCGCCGCAUUAGCUAGUUGGUAAGGUAACGGCUUACCAAGGCAACGAUGCGUAGCCGACCUGAGAGGGUGAUAGGCCACACUGGAACUGAGACACGGUCCAGACUCCUACGGGAGGCAGCAGUAGGGAAUCUUCCGCAAUGGGCGAAAGCCUGACGGAGCAACGCCGCGUGAGUGAAGAAGGUCUUCGGAUCGUAAAACUCUGUUAUUAGGGAAGAACAAAUGUGUAAGUAACUAUGCACGUCUUGACGGUACCUAAUCAGAAAGCCACGGCUAACUACGUG
rnacentral:rRNA from 1 species